UACGGAGGGUGCGAGCGUUAAUCGGAAUUACUGGGCGUAAAGCGUACGCAGGCGGUUUGUUAAGCGAGAUGUGAAAGCCCCGGGCUCAACCUGGGAACUGCAUUUCGAACUGGCAAACUAGAGUGUGAUAGAGGGUGGUAGAAUUUCAGGUGUAGCGGUGAAAUGCGUAGAGAUCUGAAGGAAUACCGAUGGCGAAGGCAGCCACCUGGGUCAACACUGACGCUCAUGUACGAAAGCGUGGGGAGCGAACAGG
rnacentral:rRNA from 1 species